rnacentral:tRNA from 1 species
GAUAAUCUGGCAGAAAUAAUGUGAAUAAUUUAGGAUUAUUUUAUAAGCUGUAUAGCUUGAUUAUAA